rnacentral:rRNA from 1 species
CCUACGGGUGGCAGCAGUGAGGAAUAUUGGGCAAUGGGCGCAAGCCUGACCCAGCAACGCCGCGUGAAGGAAGACGGCUUUCUGGUUGUUAACUUCUUUUAUUUCGGACGAAACAAAUGACGGUACUCAAUGAAUAAGCCACGGCUAACUACGUGCCAGCAGCAGCGGUAAUACAUAGGUGGCAAGCGUUAUCCGGAUUUACUGGGUGUAAAGGUCGUGUAGGCGGGACUGCAAGUCAGAUGUGAAAACCAUGGGCUCAACCCAUGGCCUGCAUUUGAAACUGUAGUUCUUGAGUGAUGGAGAGGCAGGCGGAAUGCCGGGUGUAGCGGUGAAAUGCGUAGAUAUUAGGAGGAACACCAGUGGCGAAGGCGGUCUGCUGGACAGCAACUGACGCUGAGGCGCGAAAGCGUGGGGAUCAAACAGGAUUAGAUACCCUGGUAGUC